rnacentral:rRNA from 1 species
AGAUAUAUUGUGCCCAGUGGGCCACUUUUGGUAAGCAGAACUGGCGCUGUGGGAUGAACCAAACAUGAUGUUACGGCGCCUAAAUUAAUGACUCAUAUUGAUACCAUGAAAGGCGUUGGUUGCUUAAAACAGCAGGACGGUGGACAUGGAAGUCGUAAUCCGCUAAGGAGUGUGUAACAACUCACCUGCCGAAGCAACUAGCCCUUAAAAUGGAUGGCGCUUAAGUCAUAUGCCUAUACAUCAUCACUAAAAUAAAAAUUGUUGAUUUUUUUUAAUAUAUGAUCAUCAUUAUGAAAUUUUAGCGAGUAGGAGGGUACAAUGGUGUGCGCAGAAGUGUUUGGCGUGAGCCUGCAUGAAGCCGCCAUUGGCACAGAUCUUGGUGGUAGUAGCAAAUAAUCGAAUGAGAUCUUGGAGGACUGAAGUGGAGAAGGGUUUCGUGUGAACAGUGGUUGAUCACGAGUUAGUCGGUCCUAAGCUUUAUGCGAAAGCUGUUUAAUUUAUGUUACAUAUAUACAAUUUUUUUUGUUUAUUUUUAUUUAUAAAUAUUUUUGUACAUAAUUGAAUUAAAAGCGAAAGGGAAUACGGUUCCAAUUCCGUAACCUGUUGAGUAUACGUUUGUUUAUUAAAAAUGGGUCUUAUUACACUCAUCCUGGCAACAGGAACGACCAUAGAGAAGCCUUCGAGAGAUACUGGAAGAGUUUUCUUUUCUGCUAAACAAACGUAUCACCAUGGAAGUCUUUUAUAGAGAGAUAUGGUGAAUGGCUUGGAAGAGCAUGACAUUUACUGUUGUGUCAGUAUUUUCUCCUUGGACCUUGAAAAUCUAUGGUGGGGCCACGCAAACUUCUCAACAGACCGUACCGAUAUCCGCAGCC